AGAUGUUUACAAAGGCAUUUUUUAACACGCACAAAUUUUUACUAACUGCCCAUCUCUCAAUGUAUUUUAACAUAUUACAUUGUAAUUAGCCAUUUUCAUACUAUUCACUUCUACUAACGGAUAAAAUAUCUGAACCUCAGAUAGUAUUAAAAAGCUUAGCAUGAAGCAAUUUAUAACAAGUGCUAAAAAGUAAAUAGCAUUUAAUAAAAACAUGUAUGUCAAUGUGGAAAUAGCCAUCAUGAUCAUUACUAUAGGUGACAUGGUAUUUUAAAAUGAGAACUUCCCAUUUAGAGUGAGGAUGCUGUUGCUUCUGAAUUUGACUUGAAGUAUUUUCUUGAACUACAUACACACUUAGAGCUUGUCUUCAGCACUCAAAAAGCAAACAAUGUACAAGUAAUUGGCAAUUUGAAAACUGCAGCUGGUCUUAGUAUCUAUAAUGCACAUGUAUUUGGGAAUCUCAGUAACAGAAAUGACAAACAUAGGACAACUCAAAUUACUUUCUCCACAGUGGAGGAAAGAACAUAAUUUCCAUAAAUUUGCCUAUAGAUAGCCCCUAACUUACCAAUAAUUCGUUCAUUAACUAAUAGCGCAAUGGUGCUAAACAAGUGAUAUUUCAAUUGGCUUUUGAAGGAUCAGCCUUUCCAGUGCUCCCACAGUCAUGAAAUUCAGACACUUGGCAUCUGCCUUACACUUUAUAGUUUUAGCCUCCUGCAGUCAUAGUCAUUUUCUGAUCUUUUUACAAGCAAAGUUAAUGGGAAAGCUGGCAGCAAGAGUUGUAAUUUCCUCCUGCCUUCCUACACUAGUGCUUUCCCUUUGGCUUUCCUUGCCACAUCAACCAUCCCCCUGUCUUUUAACACCCAUACCAUACCAUCCGUAUACCAGCCUCCCUGUGCUUGUGCCCUGUCCUGCCAUUUAUCCUAGGCGUUUCUGCACUUUUCAUCUUGUACCAUCCAUUCCCCCAUGUUAGUGAAUAGGAUUACUGUACAUCCCAGAUUCAUAAGUAGGCAGUAAAAAUAAAAAGAAACAGAAGAAACUUUCACUUUCCGAUACAGCAAAUAAAAGCAAUAACUUAUAUUUUUACAAAUUUUACAUUCAUAUAUAGAAGGGAAACAUCAACCAUUCCAUUACCCUUCAAUUAAAAUGAACAAUAUUGCAACUGAAUAACAUAAUGGUGUUUCACAGUAUUGGAUUUAGAAAUAAAAUAGUUUUGUAACACCAUUUCUCAUAUCUCUGAAUGCUUCUUGGACCAUGAAGACCUUAAAAAUAUGCAGAGCUUAAAUGUUGAAAAUCGUAGCUCCAGGAACUGAAGCAUCCC